rnacentral:rRNA from 1 species
UGCAAGUCGAGCGGUUGACGGGAGCUUGCUCCCUGAUUCAGCGGCGGACGGGUGAGUAAUGCCUAGGAAUCUGCCUAUUAGUGGGGGACAACGUUUCGAAAGGAACGCUAAUACCGCAUACGUCCUACGGGAGAAAGCAGGGGACCUUCGGGCCUUGCGCUAAUAGAUGAGCCUAGGUCGGAUUAGCUAGUUGGUGGGGUAAAGGCUCACCAAGGCGACGAUCCGUAACUGGUCUGAGAGGAUGAUCAGUCACACUGGAACUGAGACACGGUCCAGACUCCUACGGGAGGCAGCAGUGGGGAAUAUUGGACAAUGGGCGAAAGCCUGAUCCAGCCAUGCCGCGUGUGUGAAGAAGGUCUUCGGAUUGUAAAGCACUUUAAGUUGGGAGGAAGGGUUGUAGAUUAAUACUCUGCAAUUUUGACGUUACCGACAGAAUAAGCACCGGCUAACUCUGUGCCAGCAGCCGCGGUAAUACAGAGGGUGCAAGCGUUAAUCGGAAUUACUGGGCGUAAAGCGCGCGUAGGUGGUUUGUUAAGUUGGAUGUGAAAGCCCCGGGCUCAACCUGGGAACUGCAUCCAAAACUGGCAAGCUAGAGUACGGUAGAGGGUGGUGGAAUUUCCUGUGUAGCGGUGAAAUGCGUAGAUAUAGGAAGGAACACCAGUGGCGAAGGCGACCACCUGGACUGAUACUGACACUGAGGUGCGAAAGCGUGGGGAGCAAACAGGAUUAGAUACCCUGGUAGUCCACGCCGUAAACGAUGUCAACUAGGCCGUUGGGUUCCUUGGAGAACUUAGUGGCGCAGCUAACGCAUUAAGUUGACCGCCUGGGGAGUACGGGCCGCAAGGUAAAACUCAAAUGAAUUGACGGGGGCCCGCACAAGCGGUGGAACAUGGGGGUUAAUUCGAAGCAACGCGAAAAACCUUACCUGGCCUUGAC